rnacentral:rRNA from 1 species
AUUGAACGCUGGCGGCAGGCCUAACACAUGCAAGUCGAGCGGAGCGGCGGACGGGGGAGUAAUGCCUAGGAAUCUGCCUGGUAGUGGGGGAUAACGUCCGGGAACGGGCGCUAAGACCGCCUCCUAUUCGCUGAGCCUAGGUCGGAUGAGCUGGUGGGUGGGGUCAAGGCCGACCAAGGCGAAGAUCCGUAACUGGUCUGAGAGGAUGAUCAGUCAACCGGGAACUGAGCCAGGGUCCAGACGCCUACGGGAGGAGGCGGUGGGGAAUAUUGGACAAUGGGCGAAAGCCUGAUCCAGCCAUGCGGGGUGUGUGAAGAAGGUCUUCGGUUUGUAAAGCACUUUAAGUUGGGAGACGGUACCAACAGAAUAAGCACCGGCUAACUUCGUGCCAGCAGCCGCGGUAAUUC